rnacentral:rRNA from 1 species
UGGAAAGCGGCGGACGGGUGAGUAACGCGUAGGCAACCACCCUUUGCAGAGGGAUAGCCUCGGGAAACCGGGAUUAAAACCUCAUAAUACCGCAGUGAGACAUCUCACGGUGGUCAAAGAUUUAUCGGCAAAGGAUGGGCCUGCGUCUGAUUAGUUAGUUGGUGGGGUAACGGCCUACCAAGGCGACGAUCAGUAGCCGACCUGAGAGGGUGAUCGGCCACAUUGGAACUGAGACACGGUCCAA